GACGAACGCUGGCGGCGUGCUUAACACAUGCAAGUCGAACGGAAAGGCCUUUUCGGCGUUACUCGAGUGGCGACCGGUUGAGUACGGCUGGGGUGAACUUCCCUGCCCUCUUUUAUGAGGCGGGGAACGUAGGGCUACUACCGGUUAUACCGCAACUUACGUGUGGGUGUAGGCAAGGUUUUUGGGUGUAGGGCGAGCCCGCGGCCUAACGGCUUGUUGUUGGGGUAAUGGCCUGCCAAGGCGGCGACGGGUGGCCGGACUUAGAGGUUGGUCGGCGACCUUGGGACCGAGAGAAGGCCCAGACGCCGACGGGAGGAAGAAGUGGGGAAGAUUGCACAAUGGGUGCAAGCCUGAUGAAGCGACGCCGCGGGGGGGAUGACGGUCUUCUGGUUGAAAAAUCCCUUCGCCAGGGACGAAGCGUUUUGUGACGGUACCUGGAGAAGAAGCACCGGCUAACUACGUG
rnacentral:rRNA from 1 species